rnacentral:rRNA from 1 species
UACGAAGGGGGCUAGCGUUGCUCGGAAUUACUGGGCGUAAAGCGUGCGUAGGUGGUUCGUUAAGUCCGAUGUGAAAGCCCUGGGCUCAACCUGGGAAUGGCAUUGGAUACUGGCGGGCUAGAGUGCGGUAGAGGGCAGUGGAAUUCCCGGUGUAGCAGUGAAAUGCGUAGAGAUCGGGAGGAACAUCUGUGGCGAAGGCGACUGCCUGGACCAGCACUGACACUGAGGCACGAAAGCGUGGGGAGCAAACAGG